GCCCUGAUGGCACAGUGGUUAAAUGCCUGUCCUGCAGAGCCACAAGGUUGCGAGUUCAAUCCUAGCCAGGGCU
rnacentral:tRNA from 1 species